rnacentral:rRNA from 1 species
UACGUAGGGGGCAAGCGUUGUCCGGAUUUAUUGGGCGUAAAGAGCGUGUAGGCGGCUUUACAGGUCCGUUGUGAAAACUCGAGGCUCAACCUCGAGACGCCGGUGGAAACCGUAAAGCUAGAGUCCGGAAGAGGAGAGUGGAAUUCCUGGUGUAGCGGUGAAAUGCGCAGAUAUCAGGAAGAACACCCGUGGCGAAGGCGGCUCUCUAGGACGGUACUGACGCUGAGACGCGAAAGCGUGGGGAGCGAACAGG